GCCGGCCUACGGGAGGCAGCAGUGGGGAAUAUUGCACAAUGGGGGGAACCCUGAUGCAGCGACGCCGCGUGAGUGAAGAAGUAUUUCGGUACGUAAAGCUCUAUCAGCAGGGAAGAAAAAAGGACGGUACCUGAGUAAGAAGCCCCGGCUAACUACGUGCCAGCAGCCGCGGUAAUACGUAGGGGGCAAGCGUUAUCCGGAAUUACUGGGUGUAAAGGGAGCGUAGACGGUUAUGUAAGUCUGGAGUGAACGCCCGGGGCCCAACCCCGGGACUGCUUUGGAAACUGUGUAACUGGAGUACAGGG
rnacentral:rRNA from 1 species